rnacentral:rRNA from 1 species
AUUAAAGAGAGUUUGAUCCUGGCUCAGGACGAACGCUGGCGGCGUGCCUAAUACAUGCAAGUAGAACGCUGAGAACUGGUGCUUGCACCGGUUCAAGGAGUUGCGAACGGGUGAGUAACGCGUAGGUAACCUACCUCAUAGCGGGGGAUAACUAUUGGAAACGAUAGCUAAUACCGCAUAAGAGAGACUAACGCAUGUUAGUAAUUUAAAAGGGGCAAUUGCUCCACUAUGAGAUGGACCUGCGUUGUAUUAGCU